rnacentral:rRNA from 1 species
ACGAACGCUGGCGGCGUGCUUAACCCCUGCAAGUCGAACGGAAAGGCCCUGCUUUUGUGGGGUGCUCGAGUGGCGAACGGGUGAGUAACACGUGAGUAACCUGCCCUUGACUUUGGGAUAACUUCAGGAAACUGGGGCUAAUACCGGAUAGGAGCUCCUGCUGCAUGGUGGGGGUUGGAAAGUUUCGGCGGUUGGGGAUGGACUCGCGGCUUAUCAGCUUGUUGGUGGGGUAGUGGCUUACCAAGGCUUUGACGGGUAGCCGGCCUGAGAGGGUGACCGGCCACAUUGGGACUGAGAUACGGCCCAGACUCCUACGGGAGGCAGCAGUGGGGAAUAUUGCACAAUGGGCGGAAGCCUGAUGCAGCAACGCCGCGUGCGGGAUGAAGGCCUUCGGGUUGUAAACCGCUUUCGCCUGUGACGAAGCGUGAGUGACGGUAAUGGGUAAAGAAGCACCGGCUAACUACGUG